rnacentral:rRNA from 1 species
GACGAACCGUGCGAACGUUGUUCGGAAUCACUGGGCUUAAAGGGCGCGUAGGCGGGCCCUCAAGUCCGGGGUGAAAUCCUCCCGCUUAACGGGAGAAGAGCCUCGGAGACUGAGGGCCUCGAGGGAGGUAGGGGCGUGCGGAACUAUGGGUGGAGCGGUGAAAUGCAUUGAUAUCCAUAGGAACUCCGGUGGCGAAGGCGGCACGCUGGACCUCUUCUGACGCUGAGGCGCGAAAGCCAGGGGAGCAAACAGG